rnacentral:rRNA from 1 species
GAUGAACGCUGGCGGCGUGCCUAAUACAUGCAAGUCGAGCGAACGGACGAUAAGCUUGCUUCUCUGAUGUUAGCGGCGGACGGGUGAGUAACACGUGUAUAACCUACCUAUAAGACUGGGAUAACUUCGGGAAACCGGAGCUAAUACCGGAUAAUAUUUUGAACCGCAUGGUUCAAUAGUGAAAGACGGCCUUGCUGUCACUUAUAGAUGGAUCCGCGCUGCAUUAGCUAGUUGGUAAGUUAACGGCUUACCAAGGCAACGAUGCGUAGCCGACCUGAGAGGGUGAUCGGCCACACUGGAACUGAGACACGGUCCAGAGUCCUACGGGAGGCAGCAGUAGGGAAUCGUCCGCAAUGGGCGAAAGCCUGACGGAGCAAGGCCGCGUGAGUGAUGAAGAUCUUCGGAUCGUAAAACUCGGUUAUUAGGGAAGAACAUAUGUGGAAGUAACUGUGCACAUAUUGACGGUAACUAAUAAGAAAGCCACGGCUAACUACGUG